CCUACCGGGAGGCAGCAGUGAGGAAUAUUGGUCAAUGGGCGGAAGCCUGAACCAGCCAAGUCGCGUGAGGGAUUAAGGCCCUGCGGGUCGUAAACCUCUUUUCCCGGGGAGAAGAGGUCCGGACGUGUCCGGGCCGGGAGAGUACCCGGAGAAAAAGCAUCGGCUAACUCCGGGCCAGCAGCCGCGGUCAUACUGAAGAUGCGAGUGUUAUCCGGAUUUAUUGGGUUUAAAGGGUGCGUAGGCGGGCAUUUAAGCCGUCGGUCAAAUGUCGGGGCUCAACCCCGGCCUGCCGUCGGAACUGGGUGCCUUGAGUGGGCAAGAAGUAUGCGGCAUGCGUGGUGUAGCGGUGAAAUGCAUAGAUAUCACGCAGAACCCCGAUUGCGAAGGCAGCAUACCGGCGCCCUACUGACGCUGAGGCACGAAAGUGCGGGUAUCGAACAGGAUUAGAUACCCUUGUAGUC
rnacentral:rRNA from 1 species